rnacentral:rRNA from 1 species
AACAGACGGUGCAAGUGUUAUUCAUCUUUAUUGGGCAUAAAGGGUAAGUAGGCGGCUCGGAUAAACUAGAUUUGAAAUGCUAGAACUAAAUUUUAGAAUGGAAUUUAACGAUUAUCGAGAUAUGGAGUUAAGAAGAGGUCAAUCAGUAGAAUUUUGCAACGAAGGGGUAGAAUCCUAAUCUGCGAAGGACUACCAAAAGCGAAGGCAUCUUUCCAUUCUUAACUGACGCUGAGGUACGAAAGCCUAGGUAGUCAACAGG